UGGCUCGCCCUGUGCUGCCCAAAGGACAGAUGACAGACGGUGCUCCCUGCUCUGACACACAGAACACAGAAAAAUCCCAAGGGCCACUGACAGUCCCACUGGAGAUUUUCCUUGGCACACACAAAGGGCUGAUGGGUAAUAAAAUACCUGAAGAAAGGAGCCGCCCAACCAUCCUAGGAGACGCUACAUUGUGUGCAGAGCUGUUUCUACUCCUGCCUCUACGUUCUCCAGGGCUCCCGGCUUCAAUAUGUCGGCUGUGUACAGUUUCCUGCCAGGGGCUCAUCGGAGCGGUGUUGCCCCUCUGUCCUGGAUCUCACCACCACCAUGGCUCUUUAAAGCUCUGGCCACACUCUCGGGGUCGCUGCCACUCCAGCACCGAGGCACAAUCGCUGCCGCUAUUCUUGGCUUGAGAACUGCUCUGCUGAAGGGCUCCUGAAAAUAGUCGGUUUCCUCCUGAAGACAUUUUUUCUCUGUUUCUCUGCAAUAGCCUCUGAAUACUGGUCGGGUUCAAUCUCAUUUCAGAAACAACAGAUAAAUGGAAAUCAAAUCUGUUUGGUUUUUUUUCUAUUCGGAAAAUGAUUAUCAAAUGCACCCAGGAACUAGGCUUGAGAGUCAAUUUUGCAAGAACAGUUUUAAGUGGAACUAUUGUUGUGGUACAUUACAUUCCUUUAAAACUAACUAUACAUGAUGGAAAUUUCCAUUAGUUAAAAUGAUUUGUCAAAACUGGGCUCCUUGUAUUUUUCCUAUAAAUAACACAAACUUCCUAUAAUCAACUUCAAUUUAUGAAUGCAAGUACUUAUAUAGGGCACCUAUUGAAGGGAACUGUUUUUGCCAGUCAGGGUACACAGACACACAAAGAAGAACCCCAAGAAAUGAGUCACAGCCCAACAAAAAGCUUGGGAGCAAAAUGAAGUCCAGCUUCCAACUAACUGUGCUGGCAGAGCACAUCUGUUCCCUUUCUAUCUUGGACCAACUUUG